GUCAAUUUGAAAUAACAAUAAUCAACAAGAGCUUUUACGCAAUCAAUAAUUCUCUAUUCAAAGGAUUCUGCAAGAGAAAAAUAUAUACAGAUGCUCUUAACCAAAAACUUUAUGCUGAAAUAUUGAUUUUUAAUGUCUGUUAUACCUUUUAUUCGAAGAAAGGUCUUAAACCAACUUACAUCAUUAAAUGUUUGCAAGCUAGUCACUGCUUGGAUAUCAAAUGCAUCAUCAGCUGGAAGUAUAUCUUCAUUUGAUGAUCCAAUUGAAGGAGCUGAAAGAAAGACUGUCACUCUUAUACCGGGUGAUGGUGUUGGUCCUGAAAUAACAGCAGCAGUAAAACAUGUGUUUAG
rnacentral:lncRNA from 1 species